AAAUAGAACGAGCACUCUUGCCAUACAUGCCGGGGUUUCCCUGGGGAUUUUCUUGGGGAGAAUCCCCGGGAAGAGUGGAGACCACCUCUUUUGGAAGGAGAUGACCUCUGAGUUUUUGGUCCUGUCUGUUGGGCUCAGGACCUAAGGUCUCAUUGCAAGAGGUAGCCAGAUUUCUACCAAGAACCCAUCUAUCUCUCAGCUGAUGACCUUCUGCCUUCUGGAAGAUGUAUAUAUAAUUUGAUACCAGGAUUCUUCUUUUAAAAGUACUGUGUCCGUCCUAAGGAAUCAUCCCUCUUAGGGAUAAAUCGAUGGGCAUCGGUAUUUGGGAAGGAUGGCAUACAGACUGAAAGGGGACGUGCAUUACUACUCCAAGCUCUGAAAGUCUGAAUCUGGAACUUCACCCUAAGAACAUCGGCUCCGCACCUGCGAGAGCCAACGGUCCAACCAAGGGGAGUUUCCGGACCAUGCAAUGCUGUCAAUGACUUGAAGUAUUCGUAACCGAUGGUCAGCGAUCGCUUCCUCCACGCCUCAGCCCUUGCCCUCAUUUGUCUGUUGAGGUUCUGGGACCCUUGACCCAACCACCGAAGGAAUUGCCCAAGCCAGCUCUGGGGGCUGUGCACAAGAACUCAGAAUGCUUUUCCAGAGCACCUCUCCUUCUUCAGCUUUGGAGUUUAAGGUGUGUAAAAGAGACACCACUAAAUUAAGCCCAACAAAAUCAGCUCAAGUGCUGGGGUAACCUGUCCUAUAAGCACUUUUCUUGAAAGCAGGAGCAAAGGAAGGGGUCAAAAAACUUCCUGCGCCCUCAUCCUAGCCCCCCUCAUUUUGUGGAACUCCAUCCACCCCUAGCUAACCCAAAUACCACUCCAAGCUA